GCCAGUUUCUGGCAUGCAUUGUUUUAAUGGCGUUACUAAAGUAAGCCUAACCUUGUGGUGUCCUGUGAACAAGCUUAUCACAAUUCCAAUAUUUCCGACAGGGUAUUGAAUGCAGCAUCUCAGUAGGAGAGUCACCAAGCGAAAGAGAAAGUAUUCCGGCGUUUGCCUCCAGGGCUCAAACUCGUUUAUUUGUGCAGCAAUACAAAAAGAACUGAAUAUUUAACAGUGGAAAUGCCUUUAACUUCCAGCUGAAGGUAGGUUCACGUUUUUCUUCUGUCUUGCCUUUGUGUUUGUCUUUUCUAAUCUGCUAUAUCAAUUUGUUGAAAAAGCGGUCGAUCUCGACGAAGAUGGAAUUUUGUGGAAUAGAAAUGAGUUCCCGCUGUCCACCUGAUUACACUGGGGGUAAUGCAGCUAAAGUUAGGUACCAUGGCUUGAGGUACCAUGGCUUGAGGAACCAAGGAGCAACAUGUUACUUGAACAGCGUGCUACAGGUGUUGUUCAUGACCAAAGAGUUCAGAAAGGCUGUGGAAAGGUUUGUUACAACACCAAGGGGCAGAUGUGAUUCUGAGUACAUUGAUGGACCUCUUAAAGAGUUGUUUAGUCACUUAGGU